rnacentral:rRNA from 1 species
CGUGGACCCGUGAUCCGGGUUGCGGACAGUGUCUGGUGGGUAGUUUGACUGGGGCGGUCUCCUCCUAAAGAGUAACGGAGGAGCACGAAGGUUGGCUAAUCCUGGUCGGACAUCAGGAGGUUAGUGCAAUGGCAUAAGCCAGCUUGACUGCGAGCGUGACGGCGCGAGCAGGUGCGAAAGCAGGUCAUAGUGAUCCGGUGGUUCUGAAUGGAAGGGCCAUCGCUCAACGGAUAAAAGGUACUCCGGGGAUAACAGGCUGAUACCGCCCAAGAGUUCAUAUCGACGGCGGUGUUUGGCACCUCGAUGUCGGCUCAUCACAUCCUGGGGCUGAAGUAGGUCCCAAGGGUAUGGCUGUUCGCCAUUUAAAGUGGUACGCGAGCUGGGUUUAGAACGUCGUGAGACAGUUCGGUCCCUAUCUGCCGUGGGCGCUGGAGAACUGAGGGGGGCUGCUCCUAGUACGAGAGGACCGGAGUGGACGCAUCACUGGUGUUCGGGUUGUCAUGCCAAUGGCACU